rnacentral:pre_miRNA from 1 species
UUUCUACUCCCUCCGUCCGAAAAUACUUGUUAUCAAAAUGGAUAAAAAGAGAUGUAUCUAAAACUAAAAUAUGUCUAGAUACAUUUCCUUUUAUCCAUUUUGAUGACAAGUAUUUCCGGACGGAGGGAGUAUUUG